UACGGAGGGUGCAAGCGUUAAUCGGAAUUACUGGGCGUAAAGCGUGCGCAGGCGGUUUGUUAAGUCUGCUGUGAAAUCCCCGAGCUCAACUUGGGAAUUGCAGUGGAUACUGGCAGGCUGGAGUAUGGUAGAGGAAGGUGGAAUUCCCGGUGUAGCAGUGAAAUGCGUAGAGAUCGGGAGGAACACCGAUGGCGAAGGCAGCCCCCUGGGUCAAGACUGACGCUCAUGCACGAAAGCGUGGGGAGCAAACAGG
rnacentral:rRNA from 1 species